CUGUAGGAAAAGCAGUUGUAGAAGAAACUAGCAAAUUAGCUGAGUGCAUUGGAAAAACAAGAACUUUGUUAAGAAAGAUUUUAUCAGAAGGAGUUGAUCAUUGCAUGGUGAAGUUGGAUAAUGACCCUCAGGGGUACCUCAGCCAGCCCUUGAGUCUACUAGAGUCCGUCCUUCAGGAGUGCCAUAACACCUUCACUGCCUGCUUCCACUCAUUCUACCCGACCCCUGCGCUACAGUGGGCCUGCCUCUGUGAUCUGCUCAACUGUCUGGAUCAGGAUAUCCAGGAAGCAAACUUUAAGACAUCUAGUAGCCGGCUCCUGGCAGCUGUUAUGUCCGCUCUGUGUCACACAUCUGUGAAGCUGACUUCUCUCUUCCCUAUUGCAUAUGAUGGCGAAGUGUUGCUGCGAUCAAUAGUUAAGCAAGUCAGCACAGAGAAUGAGUCAACACUAGUUCAUCGUUUUCCUCUUUUAGUGGGACAUAUGGAAAAGCUCAGCCAGAGUGAAGAGAACAUCUCGGGGAUGACGAGCUUCCGUGAAGUGCUGGAGAAGAUGCUGGUCAUUGUUGUGCUUCCGGUGAGAAAUAGCCUUCGGAGGGAGAGUGAGCUGUUUUCCUCACACCUGGUCUCCAACACCUGCGGACUCCUGGCCAGUAUUGUCAGUGAGCUGACUGCAUCGGCCCUAGGGUCUGAGGUUGAUGGACUUAAUUCUCUUCACUCUGUAAAAGCCAGUGCUAACCGAUUCACAAAAACAAGUCAGGGAAGGAGCUGGAACACUGGAAAUGGUUCCCCUGAUGCAAUCUGUUUUGCAGUAGACAAACCUGGGAUUGUCGUUGUGGGCUUCUCUGUCUAUGGAGGAGGAGGUAUACAUGAGUACGAGUUGGAGGUGCUGGUUGAUGAUAGUGAGCAUUCAGGAGAUUCAACUCAUUCUCACAGAUGGACAUCCCUAGAGUUAGUUAAAGGAACUUAUACAACCGACGAUUCACCCAGUGACAUAGCUGAAAUCAGACUUGACAAAGUUGUUCCUUUAAAGGAAAACGUUAAGUAUGCUGUGCGUCUGAGGAACUACGGAAGCCGCACAGCCAAUGGCGAUGGAGGAAUGACCACCGUCCAGUGCCCUGAUGGAGUGACUUUUACCUUCAGCACGUGCAGCUUGAGCAGUAAUGGCACCAACCAAACCAGAGGCCAAAUUCCCCAGAUACUGUACUAUAGGAGUGAAUUUGAUGGAGAUUUACAGUCCCAGCUUGUAAGUAAAGCCAACGAGGAAGAUAAAAACUGUAGCAGAGCACUCUCUGUGGUAAGCACUGUUGUCCGGGCUGCCAAGGACCUGUUGCACAGAGCUCUUGCUGUGGAUGCUGAUGACAUUCCAGAACUGCUUAGCUCCUCCAGUCUGUUCUCCAUGCUGCUUCCCCUUAUUAUAGCCUACAUAGGACCAGUAGCCGCUGCUAUUCCCAAGGUUGCUGUGGAAGUCUUUGGCCUUGUCCAGCAGCUGCUUCCCUCAGUUGCCGUUCUGAACCAGAAGUAUGCACCCCCUGCAUUCAAUCCCAAUCAGUCAACGGAUAGCACCACAGGCAACCAGCCCGAGCAAGGCCUCUCGGCGUGCACCACUUCCAAUCACUAUGCCGUCAUCGAGAGUGAGCACCCGUACAAGCCUGCCUGUGUGAUGCACUACAAGGUGACGUUCCCAGAGUGUGUCAGGUGGAUGACAAUCGAGUUUGACCCUCAGUGUGGCACCGCGCAGUCGGAGGACGUCCUCCGCUUGCUCACCCCUGUCAGAACCAUUCAGAACGCAGGGUAUGGAGCAAAAGUGACAUCUGCUCAUGAAAACCUCAACUCGUGGAUAGAGUUAAAGAAAUACUCAGGGUCCUCUGGGUGGCCUACUAUGGUUUUAGUGUUGCCAGGAAAUGAAGCCCUUUUCUCACUGGAAACUGCCUCAGAUUAUGUGAAAGAUGACAAAGCCUCCUUCUAUGGAUUCAAGUGUUUCGCAAUCGGAUAUGAAUUCAGCCCUGGGCCUGAUGAGGGAGUCAUUCAGCUGGAAAAAGAACUAGCCAAUCUCGGUGGGGUUUGUGCCGCAGCCCUGAUGAAGAAGGACCUAGCACUGCCUAUUGGUAACGAGCUGGAGGAGGACCUUGAGAUUCUGGAAGAGGCAGCGUUGCAGGUGUGCAAAACUCACUCUGGCAUUCUUGGCAAGGGUUUGGCUCUUUCUCACUCACCCACCAUCCUAGAGGCACUUGAAGGAAACUUGCCACUUCAGAUCCAAAGCAAUGAGCAGUCCUUUCUGGAUGACUUCAUUGCUUGUGUUCCAGGAUCAAGUGGGGGAAGGCUUGCAAGAUGGCUUCAGCCCGAUUCCUAUGCUGAUCCUCAGAAAACAUCAUUGAUCCUGAAUAAGGAUGAUAUCCGCUGUGGCUGGCCCACCACCAUAACUGUUCAAACAAAAGACCAAUAUGGCGAUGUGGUUCAUGUUCCCAACAUGAAGGUGGAAGUGAAAGCUGUACCUGUUUCUCAGAAAAAAACCUCUUUGCAACAAGAGCAAGUUAAGAAAUCCCAAAGAGUUCCUGGCAGUCCUGCAGCAGCAGCAGCUGCAUCUUGCACCACCGACAUGACUUUCGGUGGGUUGGCGUCACCAAAGCUGGAUGUCUCCUAUGAACCCAUGAUAGUCAAGGAGGCACGCUAUAUCGCCAUAACAAUGAUGAAGGUAUAUGAAAACUACUCAUUUGAAGAACUGCGUUUUGCCUCACCAACUCCUAAAAGGCCCAGUGAAAACAUGCUCAUUCGUGUCAAUAAUGAUGGAACUUACUGUGCAAAUUGGACGCCAGGGGCUAUUGGGCUCUACACUGUUCAUGUGACCAUUGAUGGCAUUGAAAUAGAUGCUGGCCUUGAAGUAAAAGUGAAAGACCCACCAAAAGGGAUGAUUCCACCAGGAACUCAGCUCGUCAAGCCAAAGGCUGACCCUCAACCAAAUAAGAUUCGAAAAUUUGUGGCCAAGGACAGUGCUGGUCUCCGCAUCCGGAGCCACCCUUCCCUUCAGAGUGAACAGAUUGGAAUAGUGAAAGUUAAUGGAACUAUCACUUUUAUUGAUGAGAUCCACAAUGAUGAUGGUGUGUGGUUGAGACUGAACGAGGAGACAAUAAGGAAGUAUGUUCCUAACAUGAAUGGCUACACCGAAGCCUGGUGCCUCUCUUUCAAUCAGCAUCUUGGCAAGAGCCUUCUGGUCCCUGUUGACGUAAGUGAGAGAUGGAUUCUAAAAGCAUCGUAGCUGCACUGUCUCUUCAUUAUAGACUUUCUUUAAUUAAGGCUUCUCAGUUCUGAGGUAAUAAGUACCUUUAUCACCUUUACUUCAAAAGUGCUCGAAUGCUUAAGGGCUUCGGUGUAAUGAGAAUAGAAUUUGGCAGGAGUGAGGCUCCUGAUGCUUAUUUUGAUCUGUCAGUAGCAGUAAGUAAUAAAUUAAAACCAAACCUACCAAAUUCCUUUCAAAGAAGUAAGACAUUAAAAUGGUUAGUUUUUUCUUAUUCACACUGCUAUAUAAAAUGAAUUUCACCCAAUAUUUAAGAAACUAGAAUUACUAUGCGUUCAGGAACAGGUGUAAAUGUUCGUUAUAUUGACAGUUUGGAGUUAUCUUUAUGUUAUGUCUGCCUCUGGAUCCUUUGUUUUGAUUGAUGGCACUGUUGUGUUGAUAUAAGAUGUGCAUUUUAGACUUAUAUCUCGAAAUAGUAACUCUUCGACUGAAAGAAUUAUUAGAAUUCCUUGAUAUUACAGUAGAAUGGUUGUCAUUAUUUACUAGAAUGUGGUCAUGAAGGUAUUACUUUAAUAUAUAACUUUCUUUUUCACUAAGUGCUCCUAUGACAUUACUAAUAAGUAGCAUUGGUAUGAAAUACUUGGAAAUUGAUAUCUACUGUCAGGAUGGUCAAAAGCAGAUAGGUGAAUUAGGUUCCCCUCUUCUCUUUUUAAAGUUGCACAUUGUAAGAGUGGAAAGGGCUUAAUUCUUUCUCUCAUUACAACUAUCAUUGAAUUUUGUUUCCUUUAUUUACCUCCAACCUGCAUGUGUGUGUGUGUGUGUGUGUGUG
rnacentral:lncRNA from 14 species